GAUGAACGCUGGCGGCGUGCCUAAUACAUGCAAGUCGAGCGAACGGACGAGAAGCUUGCUUCUCUGAUGUUAGCGGCGGACGGGUGAGUAACACGUGGAUAACCUACCUAUAAGACUGGGAUAACUUCGGGAAACCGUAGCUAAUACCGGAUAAUAUUUUGAACCGCAUGGUUCAAAAGUGAAAGACGGUCUUGCUGUCACUUAUAGAUGGAUCCGCGCUGCAUUAGCUAGUUGGUAAGGUAACGGCUUACCAAGGCAACGAUGCAUAGCCGACCUGAGAGGGGGAUAGGCCACACUGGAACUGAGACACGGUCCAGAGUCCUACGGGAGGCAGCAGUAGGGAAUCUGCCGCAAUGGGCGAAAGCCUGACGGAGCAACGCCGAGUGAGUGAUGGAGGUCUUCGGAUCGUAAAACUCUGUUAUUAGGGAAGAACAUAUGUGUAAGUAACUGUGCACAUCGUGACGGUACCUAAUCAGAAAGCCACGGCUAACUACGUG
rnacentral:rRNA from 1 species